AGAAUGAACGCUGGCGGCAUGCCUAACACAUGCAAGUCGAACGAAUUACCUUCGGGUAGUUAGUGGCGCACGGGUGCGUAACGCGUGGGAAUCUACCCCUUGGUUCGGAAUAACAGUUGGAAACGACUGCUAAUACCGGAUGAUGACGUAAGUCCAAAGAUUUAUCGCCGAGGGAUGAGCCCGCGUAGGAUUAGCUAGUUGGUGUGGUAAAGGCGCACCAAGGCGACGAUCCUUAGCUGGUCUGAGAGGAUGAUCAGCCACACUGGGACUGAGACACGGCCCAGACUCCUACGGGAGGCAGCAGUGGGGAAUAUUGGACAAUGGGCGAAAGCCUGAUCCAGCAAUGCCGCGUGAGUGAUGAAGGCCUUAGGGUUGUAAGCUCUUUACCGGGAUGAUAAUGACAGUACCGGGAGAAUAAGCUCCGGCUAACGUCCGUGCCAGCAGCCGC
rnacentral:rRNA from 1 species